rnacentral:rRNA from 1 species
UACAGAGGUCUCAAGCGUUGUUCGGAUUCAUUGGGCGUAAAGGGUGCGUAGGCGGCGCGGUAAGUCAGGGGUGAAAUCCUGGAGCUCAACUCCAGAACUGCCUUUGAUACUGGGGAUCUCGAGUCCGGGAGAGGUGAGUGGAACUCCGAGUGUAGAGGUGAAAUUCGUAGAUAUUCGGAAGAACACCAGUGGCGAAGGCGGCUCACUGGCCCGGUACUGACGCUGAGGUGCGAAAGCGUGGGGAGCAAACAGG